rnacentral:rRNA from 1 species
AUUGAACGCUGGCGGCAGGCUUAACACAUGCAAGUCGAACGAGUGGCGGACGGGUGAGUAAUGUCUGGGAAACUGCCUGAUGGAGGGGGAUAACUACUGGAAACGGUAGCUAAUACCGCAUACCUUCGGAUGUGCCCAGAUGGGAUUAGCUAGUAGGUGGGGGAAAGGGUACAGUAGGCGACGAUCCCUAGCUGGUCUGAGAGGAUGACCAGCCGCACUGUAAAUUAGGCACGGUCCAGACGCCUACGGGAGGCCGCAGUGGGGAAUAUUGAGCAAUGGGAGCAAGCCUGAGGGAGCCAUGCAGCGUGUAUGAGGAAGGACUUAGGGUUGUAAAGUACUUUCAGCGGGGAGGGGUUACCCGCAGAAGAAGCACCGGCUAACUCCGUGCCAGCCGCCGCGGUAAUUC